UGGGGAAUUUUGGACAAUGGGCGAAAGCCUGAUCCAGCAAUGCCGCGUGUGUGAAGAAGGCCUUCGGGUUGUAAAGCACUUUUGUCCGGAAAGAAAUCCUUGGCUCUAAUACAGUCGGGGGAUGACGGUACCGGAAGAAUAAGCACCGGCUAACUACGUGCCAGCAGCCGCGGUAAUACGUAGGGUGCAAGCGUUAAUCGGAAUUACUGGGCGUAAAGCGUGCGCAGGCGGUUUGCUAAGACCGAUGUGAAAUCCCCGGGCUCAACCUGGGAACUGCAUUGGUGACUGGCAGGCUAGAGUAUGGCAGAGGGGGGUAGAAUUCCACGUGUAGCAGUGAAAUGCGUAGAGAUGGUGGAGGAAUACCGAUGGCGAAGGCAGCCCCCUGGGCCAAUACUGACGCUCAUGCACGAAAGCGUGGGGAGCAAAGCAGGAUUAGAUACCCUGGUAGUCCACGCCCUAAACGAUGUCAACUAGUUGUGGGGAUUCAUUUCCUUAGUAACGUAGCUAACGCGUGAAGUUGACCGCCU
rnacentral:rRNA from 1 species